CCCUAUCGUUUACCGUUUAAACAAUUUGGUGUGCAUUGUAUCAAUGAACAGUCUUCCAGAAUACAAUAAAGUACAAACCUCAAUAGCGUUUGUACAUAUGAAGUCGAGCCUUUAAGCACUCACACGAUUAAGUUAUCAAAAGAAAUAGAAUAAGAAAAUAAGAAUGAAAUUAUUAUGAAUGGAGACUCUUCAACUGUUCAUUGUUUCUGCAACCAACGCUUUGAACUUAUAUAAACCACGAACUGGUACUUCGUGAAGUGACUAUUCAUAAACGGUUGUUUCUUAGAGUGACUAUUCAAUUUGUGACUUUUCAUUUAAUCAUAACUCUUAAUUAGUUAUAUAAAUCAAGUUCAAUGAAUAUUAUAAUUGAUUCCAACAGAUAUAUGCUCGAAGAGACGCACUAUAAAAAUACGGCUUUUCAUAUCUUAUCAUUUUACUAAAAGUCACAUUCUUUCACAUUCAUUCUCUAAAAGUCACACCUCUUAAUUAGAGUUGCACUAAGAAUUGCAUCCAUUUACUAAAACUCAAAGAAUAAAAUAUAUUAUUUUAAAAAUUUCCUUACAGCUAGCGUGUACUAAAUGGUCUAUAUUGUAAAGUACAUUUUGAUGAAAUGUUGUUUGAGAAAUUCGCUUAAUUCUUUCUAUAGCAGGAGGAAUUCUACACGGUCACACUUGCACCACGUCAUCAAUAACAAGCCAAUCACAUUCCUUCUUUUCAAACAAAAGUACAAUAAAAAUACUUUUUUACAAUCAUGAUGGGACAUAUAUUCUUAAAAGGAUUAAUUUGAUUGGUUUGUUACGCCACGUCACUAAUAUACCCAUUGCAUUCUAGAAUUUUUCCUAUAGCAGACUCAGUAGCGCCA
rnacentral:lncRNA from 1 species